rnacentral:rRNA from 1 species
UACGGGGGGGGGCAAGCGUUGUUCGGAAUUACUGGGCGUAAAGGGCGCGUAGGCGGCCACCUCAGUCGGACGUGAAAUCCCCCGGGCUCAACCCGGGAACUGCGUCCGAUACUGGGUGGCUAGAGUCCGGGAGAGGGAAGUGGAAUUCCAGGUGUAGCGGUGAAAUGCGUAGAUAUCUGGAGGAACACCGGUGGCGAAGGCGGCAUCCUGGACCGGCAUUGACGCUGAGGCGCGAAAGCUAGGGGAGCAAACGGG